CCUGUGGCCACCCUGUUACACCAUACAGAGGCAGUGUGGAUAUCAAUGGUGGAACACCACCCUUUCCACUACGUUCACAGGUCACCUAUCGCUGUGACCAGAGACUGUUCCCCCUUGAUGUGAGGACCAACACAUGCACUGAUGUGGGUGGUAGGGGAGAGUGGGUGGAGAAUCCUGGGAGCUUGGUGUGUAGAGAGAGACCAGUGAAUUGCUCUCUACCUGAGGAGCCAUCCAACGGCACUAUAGUCGACUAUGAGAGGUUGAAUGAGACAGUGUUGGAGGGAACAAUGCUGACUUACCAGUGUGACAAUGGACUCUCACUGACUGGACCCAACACCAUCUAAUGCUGGAAUCUGGAGCACUGAGCCUGAGGAAAUCAUGUGUGUGCCGCAAACUUACGCUCCAUCUGCAGGUGUUUCCAUAAUUGGGCCUAUAGUCGGUGUGGUUGUGGGUAGUAUUGGUGGUGUGCUGGUGUGUUUUACUGUACUCGUCCUGGUUGUGGCAUUGAUUGUCAAGAGAAAGAGGCAAAAUCUCUCAACGGAAACUAGUGAGAACCAGAAAGCCACGGCUAGCCCAUUGUACGAUGAAAUUACCACUAUUGCAACAGACAUUCAACUAGAGUCGAAUAGUGCUUAUGGACAGGUGGUCCGCCCUCCCAUGCAAUGAAUCCGACCAGGCCUAAGUAUAUAUGGUCAUGUGAGAAGAACUUGAUUAGAUCGUUUAAUUUCAAUGCUUGUUUUGAUAUUGUCACUUACAAUAAUGAUGUUGUUCAUUUAACUAUACAUACAAGAACCGUCAUACGUAUUCAUAAUUAUACAAUCCUGAGAGUUUCAAUGGAUUCCUUAGUGUUAGAGCACAUCAUGGUACAAGACUGCAUGUACUAUUUUGUAUCAAUCUGCCUCAGUCAUAAUUAUCAUUACAGUAGAACCUCGAUUAUCCAGACACCUUGGUUCCAGAAGCAGGCCGGAUAAGUGAAUAUGCCGGAUAAUCGAAUAGAUAAACCACACCUUGAUCCACCCACUUUAUUGAUAAACAGCAGUGCUACAU